rnacentral:rRNA from 1 species
GACGAACGCUGGCGGCGUGCUUAACACAUGCAAGUCGAGCGGUAAGGCCCUUUCGGGGGUACACGAGCGGCGAACGGGUGAGUAACACGUGGGUGACCUGCCCUCAGCUCUGGGAUAAGCCUGGGAAACCGGGUCUAAUACUGGAUAUGACUCCAUGACGCAUGUUGUGGGGUGGAAAGCCUUGUGCGGCUGAGGAUGGGCCCGCGGCCUAUCAGCUUGUUGGUGGGGUGAUGGCCUACCAAGGCGACGACGGGUAGCCGGCCUGAGAGGGCGGCCGGCCACACUGGGACUGAGACACGGCCCAGACUCCUACGGGAGGCAGCAGUGGGGAAUCUUGCGCAAUGGGCGAAAGCCUGACGCAGCGACGCCGCGUGAGGGAUGACGGCCUGGUGUAAC